rnacentral:rRNA from 1 species
UGAGGAAUAUUGGUCAAUGGACGGAAGUCUGAACCAGCCAUGCCGCGUGAAGGAAUAAGGCCCUAUGGGUCGUAAACUUCUUUUGUGGUGGAGCAAUAAGAUCUACGCGUAGGUCGAUGAGAGUACGUCACGAAUAAGCAUCGGCUAACUCCGUGCCAGCAGCCGCGGUAAUACGGAGGAUGCGAGCGUUAUCCGGAUUCAUUGGGUUUAAAGGGUGCGUAGGUGGCCGAUUAAGUCAGCGGUGAAAGUCAGUGGCUCAACCAUUGAAUUGCCGUUGAAACUGGUUGGCUUGAGUACGUACGGGGCAGGCGGAAUGCGUGGUGUAGCGGUGAAAUGCAUAGAUAUCACGCAGAACCCCGAUCGCGAAGGCAGCCUGCCAGGCCGUGACUGACACUGAUGCACGAAAGCGUGGGUAUCGAACAGGAUUAGAUACCCUGGUAGU